GGUUCCAUAGUGUAGUAGCACAUUUGUUUUACAUGCAGAAGAUCCUGGGUUCACAUCCCAGUGGAGCCA
rnacentral:tRNA from 1 species